AGAAUCAACGCUGGCGGCGUGCCUAACACAUGCAAGUCGCACGAGAAAGGGUAGCAAUACCUGAGUACAGUGGCGCACGGGUGAGUAACACGUGAAUAAUCUACCUCCGAGUGGGGAAUAACUGAGAGAAAUCUUAGCUAAUACCGCAUAACACUUACGAGUCAAAGCAGCAAUGCGCUUGGAGAGGAGUUCGCGGCCGAUUAGUUAGUUGGCGGGGUAAUGGCCCACCAAGACGAUGAUCGGUAUCCGGCCUGAGAGGGCGCACGGACACACUGGAACUGAAACACGGUCCAGACUCCUACGGGAGGCAGCAGUGGGGAAUUUUGCGCAAUGGGGGAAACCCUGACGCAGCAACGCCGCGUGGAGGAUGAAGCCCCUUGGGGUGUAAACUCCUUCGAUCGGGAAGAUAAUGACGGUACCGAUAUAAGAAGCCCCGGCUAACUUCGUGCCAGCAGCCGC
rnacentral:rRNA from 1 species